GACAGAGGGGUGCAAACGUUGUUCGGAAUUACUGGGCGUAAAGCGCGUGUAGGCGGUUAUGCAAGUCGGGUGUGAAAGGCCCCGGGCUCAACCCGGGAAGUGCAUUCGAUACUGCGUAGCUAGAGUACUGGAGAGGAUGGUGGAACUCUCGGUGUAGAGGUGAAAUUCGUAGAUAUCGAGAAGAACACCGGUGGCGAAGGCGGCCAUCUGGACAGAUACUGACGCUGAGACGCGAAAGCGUGGGGGAGCAAACAGG
rnacentral:rRNA from 1 species